rnacentral:rRNA from 1 species
UACGUAGGUGACAAGCGUUGUCCGGAUUUACUGGGCGUAAAGAGCGCGCAGGCGGUCGAUCAAGUCGAGUGUGAAAGCCCCCGGCUCAACUGGGGAGGGUCAUUCGAUACUGAUCGACUCGAAGGCAGGAGAGGGUAGUGGAAUUCCCGGUGUAGUGGUGAAAUGCGUAGAUAUCGGGAGGAACACCAGUGGCGAAGGCGACUACCUGGCCUGUUCUUGACGCUCAGGCACGAAAGCGUGGGGAGCAAACAGG